rnacentral:rRNA from 1 species
CAACACGACUCUCGGCAACGGAUAUCUCGGCUCUCGCAUCGAUGAAGAACGUAGCAAAAUGCGAUACCUGGUGUGAAUUGCAGAAUCCCGCGAACCAUCGAGUUUUUGAACGCAAGUUGCGCCCGAGGCCUUUCUGGCCGAGGGCACGUCUGCCUGGGCGUCACGC